rnacentral:rRNA from 1 species
AUGGAAUUCGUGCUAACUGUGUUACUACUUUCUCUUGUGUUGUGCAUCAGCGCAGUUGCCGUCUUCCGGCGUCGUGCUUGGGCUUGGGCCGUCCAUAACGGUCAACAGCCGAUCAUCAAGAUCAGCGACCGUACCAUCGCCCGCCGAGCGCUCAUGGACCACGCUGAUGCCUUCUGCAACCGACCGCUGAACCUAUUCCCCGUGGCCCUGGUCAGCGGGCGUCGCCGCAGUCACAGCGACAACCUCACGUCUGUGCCCUACGGCCCGCGUUGGCGUGUUCUCCGGUGGACCCUCAGCGCCGCGGUCCUCCACCCAUCACGUCUUGGACACACGGACCCGCUGCGCCUCCAGGCCAUGGAUGCCCUUGUUGCUGACCUCCGCGUCCGGUGCGUCGGCGGCGGCGGCGAGAUUGUCAUCCGCGACAUCCUCAACGCCGCCGUGUUUCCGCUGGUGGCUCGCAUGUGCUUCGGUAGCGGCGUGGACGAGGGUCACGUACGCGCCAUGCGUGACUUGCUCCGGGCCUUUGUGCUGGCCGUUGAUGGCAGCAAGGAUUUUGCGAGCUCCAAGACGGCGAAGCUGCUGCACUGGAGGCGGUGGCGCCGGUUCCUCGCCUUCCGAGGCAGGCAGGCUGAGCUUUUCCUCCCUCUGGUCAACGCAAGACGGAACGCUAACCGUCAUCCCAAGCUCAGCGGUGGCCUGCCGGCGUAUCUAGACCACCUCCUCGACGCCCGCGUCCCCGUCGACCACGAAACAGCCGACGGCAAGGCCCUGCGCCCUCUCACAGAUGACGAGCUGGUGAGCCUUCUCUCGGAGUUCCUCGGUGCUGGGCCAGGGACCGUGGUGUCCAGCAUGGAGUGGACCCUCGCCCACCUCGUGCUCCAGCCGGAGGUCCAGAACAGAAUCCGACGCGAGGUCGACGCCCUGGAGGGCGCACUGUCCGAGGCACGCGUCCGGCAGAUGAAGUACAUGCGCGCCGUCGUGCUCGAGAGCCUUCGGCUCCACCCGCCGAUUCCAGUGUUGCUGCGCAACGUCCCCGAUCAGGCGGUCGCCGAAAUCCUGGGACGCGCCGACACCGCCGUGCCGACCGAGGGGAUGCGGGCGCACUUCAACCUGGGAGAGAUCGGCAGGGACAAGAAUGCAUGGACGGACCCUCACAGGUUCCGCCCGGAGCGCUUCCUCGCUGGGGGCGAGGGGGAGGGCGUGGGCCUGGUGCCAGGGCCCAAGGAGAUCAAGAUGAUGCCGGGCGGAGGGCGUGCCCGGGAGGAGGGCUCGCCACCAUGCAUGUGA